AGGGCCAUAGCUCAGUGGUAAGAGCAUGUGCUUGGCAGGCAGAAGGUCUUGGGUUCGAUCCCCAGCAUCGCUCUA